rnacentral:rRNA from 1 species
UACAGAGGGGGCAAGCGUUGUUCGGAAUUACUGGGCGUAAAGGGCGCGUAGGCGGCCUUCUAAGUCAGACGUGAAAUCCCCCGGCUUAACCUGGGAACUGCGUCUGAUACUGGAAGGCUUGAGUGCGGGAGAGGGAUGUGGAAUUCCAGGUGUAGCGGUGAAAUGCGUAGAUAUCAGGAGGAACACCAGCGGCGAAGGCGGCGCUCUGGGCUGGAACUGACGCUGAGGAGCGAAAGCGUGGGGAGCGAACAGG